rnacentral:rRNA from 1 species
CAGUGCCACGGUAAAACAGAGGGUGCAAGCGUUAAUCGGAAUUACUGGGCGUAAAGCGCGCGUAGGUGGUUUGUUAAGUUGGAUGUGAAAUCCCCGGGCUCAACCUGGGAACUGCAUCCAAAACUGGCAAGCUAGAGUAUGGUAGAGGGUGGUGGAAUUUCCUGUGUAGCGGUGAAAUGCGUAGAUAUAGGAAGGAACACCAGUGGCGAAGGCGACCACCUGGACUGAUACUGACACUGAGGUGCGAAAGCGUGGGGAGCAAACAGGAUUAGAUACCCCUGUAGUCCCUGUCUCUUAUACA